rnacentral:rRNA from 1 species
UACAGAGGUCCCGAGCGUUGUUCGGAUUCACUGGGCGUAAAGGGUGCGCAGGUGGCAUGGUAAGUUUGAUGUGAAAGCCCCGGGCUUAACCCGGGAAUGGCAUUGAAUACUACUGUGCUGGAGGAUCGGAGGGGGGACUGGAAUUCUUGGUGUAGCAGUGAAAUGCGUAGAUAUUGGGAGGAACACCAGUGGCGAAGGCGGCUCACUGGACCGGUUCUGACGCUGAGGCGCGAAAGCGUGGGGAGCAAACGGG